AAUUUGCUUUAUUUUAUUUGUGGCAUGUAUUGUAUAUUGGAUACCGUUAAGGACCAAUAGAACACCUUUGGAAACUUAUGCUGGUACCCACCCAGCACCAGACGUCAUUCGGACAUCGUUUUUUUUUUUUUUUUUUGCUAAAUCUCGGCCCGUCAUGGCCUUCUUUUAGAUCAAAAAUUGACGUUGAAAGUUGGUUUUUGCUUGUUUCGUCGGAUUUGGUCCAAAUUUUGCCCUAAACUCAGCAAUGGUCUUUGUUUUGUCUUUAUGAUUUGGUUCCAAUAUAGCCCCAAAAUCUAUGUUUAAUAUUAGGUUUUGUUUGGUCCAUCUGAUUUGGUCCAAAUUUAGGCCAAAAUAAAUGUUGAAAUAACAGUGAAAUUCUGCGUGACUUCUACGUGCUGUAAUGGGCGCGCGCGCUGAACUGGAGCGGAGGACGUCACCAUGGAAACGAGGCGGCAGCCCAACCGUCAAGCAGCUGAACGCUGACUCUCAAUGUGGUUUUCACUAUUGUUUUUUUAGGUUCUUCCAUGCUGAUGGCUGUGCUCUAGAGUCAUAUCUCCUGUCGAAGAACAUUUUUAGACAUUAUGAACCAUGAAAAAGUUUAGCUCCAACCCCAGUUAAGCAGCUGAUCAAGGAUCACCAGAAACUCUGCAGAACGUUGGUCCUCCAGCCCAGGACUGGACACCAGUGUUAGUGUCUGUCUCAGAAGCUGAAGAAAAGAGGCCACACCUCAGAGGAAAUAAGCGCCCC